CAACUUUGAGCGGUGGAUCACUCGGCUCGUGUGUCGAUGAAGAGUGCAGCCAACUGUGUGAAUUAAUGUGAACUGCAUACUGCUUUGAACAUCGACAUCUUGAACGGAUAUUGC
rnacentral:rRNA from 1 species